rnacentral:rRNA from 1 species
GCGGGCCCUUCGGGGUCAGCGGCGGACGUGUGAGUAACGCGUGGGAACGUGCCUUCUGGUUCGGAAUAACUCAGGGAAACUUGAGCUAAUACCGGAUACGCCCUUUUGGGGAAAGGUUUACUGCCGGAAGAUCGGCCCGCGUCUGAUUAGCUAGUUGGUGGGGUAACGGCCUACCAAGGCGACGAUCAGUAGCUGGUCUGAGAGGAUGAUCAGCCACACUGGGACUGAGACACGGCCCAGACUCCUACGGGAGGCAGCAGUGGGGAAUAUUGGACAAUGGGCGCAAGCCUGAUCCAGCCAUGCCGCGUGAGUGAUGAAGGCCUUAGGGUUGUAAAGCUCUUUUAUCCGGGACGAUAAUGACGGUACCGGAGGAAUAAGCCCCGGCUAAACUCGUGCCAGCAGCCGCGGUAAUACGAAGGGGGCUAGCGUUGCUCGGAAUCACUGGGCGUAAAGGGCGCGUAGGCGGCGUUUUAAGUUGG